rnacentral:tRNA from 1 species
CGGGGUGUGGCGCAGUUCGGUAGCGCACCUGCUUUGGGAGCAGGGGGUCGCUGGUUCGAAUCCAGUCGCCCCGACCA